rnacentral:lncRNA from 1 species
CCUCUCUUUGAUCAGUCCUGGUUCUUCCUUGAUUCAGCUGAUUACCUUACUUUUAACAUGUAUGAAAACAAACUGCACACAAAAUAACUAAAUAGUCUAUAUUUUGUUUGCACAUUUUAUGGGUGUGGUUAGCUGACGGCUACAGAGAGUUCAGUGUGGGUAUUCUACCUUUGUGUAGGCAGUUUACAGAUAUUUUUUAAAAAACACUUUGGGUCCUGCAGUCAUACUGGAGAGGGAAAGGAAAGGAGAUAUGUUCCUAACUAAAGAUUAAAUGGGUCAAGAACACAAGUAUAGAGAGAGGUGACAAAGUGAGACCUCAUCUCUAAAAAAAAUAAAAAUAAUUAAAAAUAAUAAUUAAAAAAGAAAAAGAAAAUGAAAAAAAAGCUAUACCAGUUCCCUUAAUAAUGGGCAAAGCAUAUCGAUUACCUUGUAUACGUAUUUCUAUUUCCCUGUAACUUUUGUACCUAGGAAAAUGUUAGCUUUAUGUAUUAAAUACAACCUUACCCAAAUAAACCAACUUUUGUUUCCUGUCAGACACAGAGAAAACCAAAAGUCAUGUAACCAAAACUAUCUUUUUUUUUUUGAGAUGGAGUCUCGCNNNNNNNNNNGUCCCAGCUACUUGGGAGGCUGAGGUGGGAAAAUCACCUGAGAUGGGGAAGGUCGGCUGCAGUGAGCCAUGAUCAUGCCACUGCAUUCCAGCCUGAGCAACAGAGUGAGACCCUGUCUCAAACAAAAAAACAAAAAAAAAAAGAUUGAAACAGUAAAUAACAGUAUGUAAAUUUCCAACCAUU